rnacentral:rRNA from 1 species
AGUGAACGCUGGCGGUAGGCCUAACACAUGCAAGUCGAACGGCAGCACAGUAAGAGCUUGCUCUUACGGGUGGCGAGUGGCGGACGGGUGGGGAAUACAUCGGAAUCUACUUUUUCGUGGGGGAUAACGUAGGGAAACUUACGCUAAUACCGCAUACGACCUACGGGUGAAAGCAGGGGAUCUUCGGACCUUGCGCGAUUGAAUGAGCCGAUGUCGGAUUAGCUCGUUGGCGGGGUAAAGGCCCACCAAGGCGACGAUCCGUAGCUGGUCUGAGAGGAUGAUCAGCCACACUGGAACUGAGACACGGUCCAGACUCCUACGGGAGGCAGCAGUGGGGAAUAUUGGACAAUGGGCGCAAGCCUGAUCCAGCCAUACCGCGUGGGUGAAGAAGGCCUUCGGGUUGUAAAGCCCUUUUGUUGGGAAAGAAAAGCAGCAGGUUAAUACCCCGCUGUUCUGACGGUACCCAAAGAAUAAGCACCGGCUAACUUCGUG